rnacentral:rRNA from 1 species
CUACGGGGUGCUCCAGUGGGGGAUAUUGCACAAUGGAGGAAACUCUGAUGCAGCGACGCCGCGUGAGUGAUGAAGUAUUUCGGUAUGUAAAGCUCUAUCAGCAGGGAAGAAAGGCUCCGUAUGGAGAGAUGACGGUACCUGAGUAAGAAGCCCCGGCUAACUACGUGCCAGCAGCCGCGGUAAUACGUAGGGGGCGAGCGUUAUCCGGAUUUACUGGGUGUAAAGGGAGCGCAGACGGAUUUGCAAGUCUGAUGUGAAAGCCCGGGGCUCACCCCCGGGACUGCAUUGGAAACUGUAGGAUCUGGAGUAUUGGAAGGGCAAGCGGAAUUCCUGGUGUAGCGGUGAAAUGCGUAGAUAUCAGGAGGAACACCGGUGGCGAAGGCGGCUUGCUGGACAAUAACUGACGUUGAGGCUCGAAAGCGUGGGGAGCAAACAGGAUUAGAUACCCCUGUAGUC